UCAAGGUCUAUAUCCUACAAGGUGAUAUAGAUCCAAAGAUCCAUUGGCAAUAUAGGUCAAGGUCUAUAUCCUACAAGGUGAUAUAGAUCCAAAGAUCCCUUGGCAAUAAAGGUCAAGGUCUGUAUCCUACAAGGUCAUAUAGAUCCAAAGAUCUAUUGGCAAUAUAGGUCAAGGUCUAUAUCCUACAAGGUCAUAUAGAUCCAAAGAUCCCUUGGCAAUAAAGGUCAAGGUCUAUAUCCUACAAGGUCAUAUAGAUCCAAAGAUCCCUUGGCAAUAAAGGUCAAGGUCUAUAUCCUACAAGGUCAUAUAGAUCCAAAGAUCUAUUGGCAAUAAAGGUCAAGGUCUGUAUCCUACAAGGUCAUAUAGAUCCAAAGAUCCCUUGGCAAUAAAGGUCAAGGUCUAUAUCCUACAAGGUGAUUUAGAUCCUUUGUAGCUUGAUGAGAUCUAUGGUGUGUCAAGAAGCUUGUCUUGACAUUCAGUGGACUACAUUGGCUCCUGUAAAGUAGAUAUAAAGUCAAACAAGUCGGCAAACAACUGAACAUAUAUUUGUGUGAUUGCAAUAAUUCUUUUCACCAAAUCAGUUAUCAGCACUGUAAGUUAUGAAAACAAGGUUAUUUGAGUCCAUUUCUAAGCUCAAGAGUCCCUCUGAACUCAUGAGUACAAACCAGAGCCUUGCACAAGAACUCAAAAGGCAUUUUUUGUAAAGUCAGUUUACAAGUUUUGUCUUGCUUGUUCUCUAUAUAUUUUAACAGCAAGUAGUGGUGCUGGGUAACAGGUAAUCUGUCAAUAUCAAAACUAGGGUUUUACAAAUGUUUUUAUUAGUCAGUCUGACUUUUUAACUUUCUGAGUGUACAUUUUGAUUCCAUUUCUAUAUCUUUUUAUAUAUUUUUACAAUUUUUGUAUUUGGGGAUGCCAUAUUUAUUUCAGUGAUGUGAGUGAUAUAUUCAGUGAAGGGCUUCUGUCUAAGGGUUUUCAAUGUUUUUAGGUUGUUGUUUUUUCCAUUUGGAAUACAAAAGUUGCCUUAGGUUCUCAUGUUUCCUGUAGAUUAUGGAAAACCUUUUUCUGGGUUGGGUGUAAUGUUUUGUUUUUUACUCCCAUGUAUUUUAUUAAGUUGUUUCUGUGUUAUUCUGGAAACUCUCUGAAUUGGGGUGUCACUGUAAGGUUCCAGUUCUCAUCAAGAUAAUCUGACUAAUCCAGAUUGACUUUUGGAAAUAGUGUGAGUGUAACUUAUUUUUAAUAAAUAACUUACAACAUA
rnacentral:lncRNA from 1 species